rnacentral:lncRNA from 1 species
UUUUUUUUCUCUUCAUCAAUUUUUUUUUUAGUAUAUAUAUCCCAUAGAUUCCCCCAAACUCAAGCUUUUACGUCAUUCCAACCUUUACCGCCAGUUCACUAAUUUCCUUAAAUUUUAACAAAGAUUUUCCCUCAUAAACAAAUUAUGAAACCCUUGAACCAAGUGGAUUAAAACAGUUAAACUUUAAGUGCUAACCGGUUACAUAAGUUUCAGACAGGCUCAGAUUAUCAUCAUGAUUAAAAUUAGAACUCAUCAUCAAUUAUCAACACUAUUCAAGUUAACAUGCAAAACCAAUCUUAUCAUAGGCCGAGCUAAGACCACACCAACCUAUCACACAAAUUUAUGCAAAAAUAAGAAAAAAUGCAAUUAUACUACAUGAACACAUAUAUGAAGAUGCAAAAAAAAAUACCAUGUAUUAUAUGCAACCUAAAAAAA